GUAACAAGGUUUCCGUAGGUGAACCUGCGGAAGGAUCAUUAAAAAAUACUACAACACUGUUUUAUUUCUUCCAUAACUUCUUAUUCUUUUUUAAAACUUUCAACAACGGAUCUCUUGGUUCUCGCAUCGAUGAAGAACGCAGCGAAAUGCGAUACGUAAUACGAAUCGCAGCUCUCGGAAUCAUUGAAUUUUUGAACGCACAUUGCACCAUUAUUGGUAUGGAUGAGUGGGUGGUGUAUUUCUUGUUUACAGUAAUGUCACUAAAGAUUUCAAGUACCAUACAAAAAAGUACUAUCUUUUCUCCCCCACUCACCCAAGACUACCCGCUGAACUUAAGCAUAUCA
rnacentral:misc_RNA from 1 species